rnacentral:rRNA from 1 species
CGUAGCAUAGCCGACCUGAGAGGGUGAUCGGCCACAUUGGGACUGAGACACGGCCCAAACUCCUACGGGAGGCAGCAGUAGGGAAUCUUCCGCAAUGGACGCAAGUCUGACGGAGCAACGCCGCGUGAGUGAAGAAGGUUUUCGGAUCGUAAAACUCUGUUGUUAGAGAAGAACAAGUGCUAGAGUAACUGUUAGCGCCUUGACGGUAUCUAACCAGAAAGCCACGGCUAACUACGUGCCAGCAGCCGCGGUAAUACGUAGGUGGCAAGCGUUGUCCGGAUUUAUUGGGCGUAAAGCGAGCGCAGGCGGUUCCUUAAGUCUGAUGUGAAAGCCCCCGGCUCAACCGGGGAGGGUCAUUGGAAACUGGGGAACUUGAGUGCAGUAGGGGAGACUGGAAUUCCUGGUGUAGCGGUGAAAUGCGCAGAUAUCAGGAGGAACACCGAUGGCGAAGGCAGGUCUCUGGGCUGUUACUGACGCUGAGAAGCGAAAGCAUGGGUAGCGAACAGGAUUAGAUACCCUGGUAGUCCAUGCCGUA